GUUUGCAGCACCUGACACUAGAAGACCUUCAGCUCAUUUCAAAGGUUCUGGUACCUGGUACCCAGUGCCACACAACAUCAUGCCACAGCAGAACUACAAACCUUAAAGAAGUUUACAUACAUAAUCAGAAUCUACUUAAACUCUCCCGAAAUCCCUGUUUAUUAUGACUAAACCUAAAUACUGGCUGGAGCUGUCAGGAGACUUAAAAACCAGUGUGCUCAUGUCCCAUAUUGCCAUCACUGGGAAAGUGUUUUCUUGGGAAGAAAAGCAGCACUGGGAUGAAGAAACUACAAUAUGCAAGUUCUGGGGACAACCUGAAGUCUAUUCCAAAAUGUAAAACAACAGAGGAACAGUCAAAACCAAAGUGAUACUGAGUCCUACAAAGCAGGUAAGGAAGAAGCAGCUAAGAAAGAACACAUAUAUUUGAUGAUGAGAAACCACGCCCUCUUAAGGACUCAGCUGUGGCCUCCUGAAAAGAUGCUUCUGAACAGGAAGAAUGAAUGGUGAGAAGAGAGGUAGGCCUAUGGUUAAUCCAGCUGUAGUAAACUUUCAACAGUGAGAUUGUAAUUUGUGAAUAAAGACAACCACAGCAGUAAUAACCACAUGCUGGUUCAUGUAACAGGGAAGCUAAUAGAGGGGUUUGGCUAGAGGUAUUUUGGUCUUAAUUACUGAGCCAGUCACUAAUUAAGUCAUAGUUUAACAGCUCCCACCUCCAAAACUCACCUUCCCCAAUGCUCUGUUUUCAUCCCAUCAUCUUAACUUGGAUUUAAUUUAAACUUUAUUUUUGUUCUCCUUGCCUCAAAACAGUUUCCACAGUCCUUAUUCUUAAAAAAAGAAGCCUGUGCUGAACUCCAGUUUGAACAUGGUACCUCCCAGCAGUAAGUUUAUACAUUUUGCCUAGAGUGUUCAUGGUCAUUGUUUCUUUCUUCCAAAGGUCCAAGAUAUAGUGUAGAAAGAUUGUUGAAUUUAUUUCAUCAGUUGGUUAAUUCUUAUGUGUCUUUAAGUGAUUCUACUACUGCUGAACAGUGCUUCAUAUCAAGGAGGUCUUUGGGGUCCAGAAACAGGAUGCCUACCAUGGUCUUGAAAAUCAAGUUGAAUUUAACCAGCCCCCUGUGACAGAGCAAAAGAUUACUGAAGAUACAAAAAAAGAUACAGUGAAUAAGGUGAAAGACAGCUUUCAGGAAAGACAAGAAGAAAAGCCAAAUCCUGGAUUAACAGGUAAUAAACUCUUUACAUGGGGUAGAGGAGAGAUUGGCCGCAGGAGUGAUACUGUUCUUAGUUUCUUGGCUGCAAAUAACGCAGUACGUGUUCUGCAUGCAUAAACCACAGGUAUGACAGAUUUCACCCUCUCCCCUUCUAUCAGAGAACAACCAUUAGUCUCUUGCUAUUGGUAAAUCUGAUGAGACCCUUACUACAGCUGUCAGACAUAUCCUGAGAUCCUAUUGCUAUUCGCUUCCCUCCAACAAAUUUUUUACUCUUAGUUCUCUAUUUUUGCAAUAAAAGUUAUGUGUUUGAGAAUUACAUUUUAAAAUAUUUGUUUACCUUUCAACCAUAUUUUAGAAUGAAGCUAGAAAAAAUAAAUAACUUCAGUGAAGUGAUGACCUCUCUUUCUCAUCAACUGCAGCUUUCCAUUGUUUUGGGAACCUCUCCCAAGAAAGGCUACCCACACUGAGUCAAGGCACAUCUAAAAAAUGCCACGUUUAGUGACACUACAAUAAAUCUUUAAAAAAUAAUGUAAAAAUAUUGUGUUGGGAAAGAUAUUAAAAUGGAAUUUCAUAAUACCGGGGUAUCAUGUGACAGCAAUUUCCCCGAAGUCACACUCUAGAUCGUUGUAAGAACAAGUAGCAUACCGAGGGAACUGAGUGAACCCACUGCAAAUCAGGAGAAGUAGCAGAUGAAGAUAGGAAAAUGAAGAGAAGGAGCCAGGCCUGAGCAGCUAAGGAAAAACAAGCCAAUUGUUUGCAGCCCAUAGGCUGCACCAAAAACAUGUUACUUCCAAAAAAGAAUUCUACCCCCUCUCUCCUAUAACACAGAUUUGUGUUUCCACAAUUUACUAAAUACUAACACAGCCUUUUCAGAAGACAUUGUCUCAGCUGCUUUCAUUUGACCAUUAACUUUUUUGUGUUCCACCUGUUCAUUUCUUUCCACCAUGGGAGCAAAGGAAAGAGCACAGGAAUGACAU